rnacentral:siRNA from 1 species
UUGCUCUGAUGAUUCAUG